GGAAGUCCGCUGCGUGUCAGUGAGGAGCUGCUGCAGAAGGAAGAAGAAGAAGCAGCGGCGUGGGGACCUGGGAGGCAGGAGCAAGCAAGAAGAGGAAGCGGAAGCGUGCAGAUGCGGGGGGGAAGGAGAGAGGCUCCCUGGGCAAAGCACCUGUCCCGUUAGCAGGGGCACAGUCACGUUUGAGUUGAGAGCUGCCGGCGCCUUUGGUGACCAGGCUGGCGUUGUGCUGGGCGACCUCCCCGUAAGCGGGGCUCGGGUCUUUGCUGUAGUUGGCCUUUUGCCUUGCUGCUCCUUUGGCUGCCUGGGGAGCGUGGCCCCCUGUAACGGAGGGCGAGAGCCACCUCUCCGCACCUGAGUGGGAAAUGGAGCUCGCCGGACCCCAAGGCCACCCUGUAAGCAGGGUAGUGCCGUUUCCCUGCCCCUCUUCCUCCCCCGGCCCCUCGGCAUCGUUGCCUGAUGGUGGCUUGUCAAUGCGACGGCCCCGUACUCGGGGUGUGUGUCCCAAGCUUCGGAGCCCUCUGUCCCUGAGCAGCCCGCCCGCCCUGUAAUCAGGUGUGGGGAGGCUGCAGCGUUGCAGCCGGCUGCUUUAGCCAUCCAGCUGGUGGGAGUGACCCCUCCCUGUCCCGUCAGAGGGUGCAGGUUGAGGUGCUGUUUGUGUGUGGGGUGACCUCCCCGCUCGGUGGGUCGAGGUAGCUCCCUGGGCUUCCAAAGACGAGACGUUGGUGAUGUUCUGCUG
rnacentral:lncRNA from 1 species